rnacentral:lncRNA from 1 species
CAGAACUAAAAGAGCUUCAUGGUAUACUAGUUACUCUACGUCAGGGUCAGGGUCAGGAUAUCCAUUUUUUAAGAAGAAGAAACCUAAACAGCCCGUAGUUUUAAUUAAUGAUACUAGAUUUUCUGACAGGUAUUUAUUAUUAAUAAAUUAAUCAAAAUUACAUUAAGAAUUAUAGCCAACAGGGACAGAUUAGAGAUUUAAUUCACCUCUCAAAUGGCUGAUAUUUAGAUAUAUAAAAAGCUACAGGUAACCAACAGUAUCUUAAGCAAUCAUAUAGCUUUUUCAGUAAAGAUUAUUUAUUAGCAAUGUUUCUUUUCUAUCACAAUACACUAAGUUUGGAAAUGUUCAAUCAUAGACCAUUCGAUAAAAAAAGAUAUACAGCUGUUACUUUAUUAUUUUAGUCAAACUGUAAUGAAUUUUAGGCAAACUAUUUUUUUACAGAUGUUCAAUUGUAAUUAAAUUAAGAAAACAGAAAACAUGAUGUCAAAGGAAGACAACUGAAUGAACUCUGUCAGGAACAAGAAUGCGUUGUCGACAGGGUUAGCAUUGUUUGCUUUGCAUCAACUAACGGCCAUGAGAAUCCACAAUCGAUAAAAAAAAACCAAUCGGUUAAUAACUGCUAUAUAUCACACGUAUCUUCCAGUAUCCAACUAAAAAGAUAUAAGACCGCGAAAACAUAUCGCAACUGAGUCGAGACACAAACAGAUUGUAUCGGUCAAUCAAUUCGAUAUUGUCAUUGUAAAAUUUAUAAAGUGUCGAUUUGGUUCCCUCUUAAUUCUGUUUUAGUAGGGAUUUUGCAAGGGGCACACGCCUAUUAAAUAAGAUUGUAUAGUGUUAACAUGCACGAGCGUUAUUUGUUAUCGUAUUCAAUCAGAUGUGUAAACUCCAUACGACGGGGACUAUUUACUAUAUGUUGUUCUUUUGCAGGUGGGAUCCUUUUGAUUACGGCAAAAGGUAAGUUUUCAUUUAUAUCAACGAACCAACACUUUGGAAUGUGUCUUUGUCGUAUUUCGAGUUGUUUAUUUCAAAUAGUCUAGACAAGGUAUGACUAUGUUUUACAACGACAAUAGAUAUCUGCCAUAAGUACAAAAUACAGGAAAACAGUAUUUGUGAAAGGACCAGAAGUCCGUCCAGUACUGAUGUAAUAGCAGCAACUAUCCUGUUUCGUUCAAUAUUUCUUGAUUCAGUCGUGUCAGGUUGGAUAUUAUGUUGAAUUGGCGCCUGUGAUAACGUUUAAAACCGCUGCAUUUGUUUUCAUCUGUUCUAUGUCACGAACCUGUUGUUCAGUGGUUGUCGUUUGUUGAUGUGGUUCAUAAGGGUUACUCGUUUCUGUUUUUUUUUAAAUAUUGAUCAGACAGUUGGAUUUCCUGUUUGAAUGGUUUUACGUAUAUACUAGUCAUUUUGGGGCCCUUUAUAGCAUGCUGUUCGGUGUGAAUCAAGGCUCCGUGUUAAAGGCCGUACUUUUAUCUAUAUAGGUUCACUUUUUAUAAAUUGUGACUUGGAUGGAGAGUUGUUUCAUUGCCACUUAUACCACUUAUCAUCUUAUAACUGUGACCCAUAUAUUUGACAAUAUCAUGAUGUUAACUAAAUUUAUGCAAAAUAUUAAAAAAACAUUAUAUCGUUUUUAAUACCCCCCUCCCUUUUCCGUAUAACUUAAAGCAGACAUAAAGUAUCGUUUACGUUACAUAAAUAAGCAAAGAGUUAAAGACAAUGUUUGACUCAACAAGCACGUGCUCUUAUGUUUGUAUGCAUUUAUAUCAAGUUGAUUCAUUGAGUAAUCACACUGUUUUAAUGUCAUUUAGGAUUAUCAUAAUUCAUCACUUUUCUCCCACAGAUAUUUUGAAAGAAGAUUAUGUUUGCUCGUUACGAAUUGUCAAUUGUCUUGAAAACAAAUUGUCGGUAACAAAUUAUUCUAACAUGACCAGGAAUAAAAUUGGUGUCCACUUAUAUUUCAAAUUCUUAGAUGAAUAAUGGGUUAAGCGACACAAUGCUGAGAAAGUUGUCAUUGUAUAACGAAUUUCGCAUCCUAUCAAUGCUUUAGUUGUUUCAUUGUAAAUGCAAAUCUUGAUUAACUAAUAUGUUUUUUUUUUUAUCUCUCUCUCUCAUUUUUUUUUUUUUUUUUUAGAGAUUCUCAAUAGGAAAAUGCGGUAUAAUGGACACGAUUGUUAAGUUGGUAGUGCUUGCCCAUGGAGGACGUGAAGAUCACACAAACAACAAUUGAACAUACAAUAAAACUUACAAUAUAAU